CAGCAGCCGCGGUAAUACGAAGGGGGCUAGCGUUGUUCGGAUUAACUGGGCGUAAAGGGCGCGUAGGCGGGUUUUUAAGUCAGAGGUGGAAUCCCAAGGCUCAACCUUGGAACUGCCUUUGAUACUGGAAGUCUUGAGUCCGGGAGAGGUGAGUGGAACUGCGAGUGUAGAGGUGAAAUUCGUAGAUAUUCGCAAGAACACCAGUGGCGAAGGCGGCUCACUGGCCCGGUACUGACGCUGAGGCGCGAAAGCGUGGGGAGCAAACAGGAUUAGAUACCCCGGUAGUCCCUGUCUCUUAUAC
rnacentral:rRNA from 1 species